GAUGAACGCUGGCGGCGUGCCUAAUACAUGCAAGUCGAGCGAACAGACGAGGAGCUUGCUCCUCUGACGUUAGCGGCGGACGGGUGAGUAACACGUGGAUAACCUACCUAUAAGACUGGGAUAACUUCGGGAAACCGGAGCUAAUACCGGAUAAUAUAUUGAACCGCAUGGUUCAAUAGUGAAAUACGGUUUUUCUUUCACUUAAAGCUGGACCCGCGCCGCAUUAGCUAGUUGGUAAGGUAACGGCUUAACAACGCAACGACGCGUAAACGACCUGAAAGGGUGAUCCGACAGACUGGAACUGAGAAACGGUCGAGACUCCUACGGUAGGCAGCAGUAGGGAAUCUUACGCGAUGGACGAGAGCCUGACAGAGCAAAGCCGCGUGAGUGAUGAAGGUCUACGGAUCGUAAAACUCUGUUAUUAGGGAAGAACAAAUGUGUAAGUAACUGUGCUCGUCUUGACGGUACCGAAUCAGAAAGCCACGGCUAACUACGUG
rnacentral:rRNA from 1 species